UACAGAGGGUGCGAGCGUUAAUCGGAAUUACUGGGCGUAAAGCGUGCGUAGACGGCUAUCUAAGUCGGGUGUGAAAGCCCCGGGCUCAACCUGGGAAUUGCAUUGGAUACUGGCAGGCUAGAGUGCGGUAGAGGAUGGCGGAAUUCCCGGUGUAGCAGUGAAAUGCGUAGAUAUCGGGAGGAACACCAGUGGCGCAAGCGGCUGACUGGCCGAGACCUGACGCUGAGACGCGACGGCGUGGGGAGCAAACCGG
rnacentral:rRNA from 1 species